CUGCGCCGCCGCCUCCGGCCCGGCUGAGUAGGCUGGCGUCGCCGGCCUGGUCAGCGUGAAGGCGCCCAGGACGGUCCGGUCUCAGCUCCCUGUCCCGGCGUACAGAGGGAGCUGCUCCUGGCUCUCGUCGGCCCCAGAAUGCGAUCUUUGUUGGGAAAUCAAAGUCUCAGGACCAGGAAGUGAAUGCUGCUUCCCCUCCAUUGACAUUCCAGUGUUGGAAAUACCAAGUAAGGAAUUAGUGUGUAUGAUGCUGGAAACCUGUAGAGAUGCACAGCUCAUGACUCAAAGGCCUAAAACAGGUGUGUCUUUCAAGUUCUUAUCAGGAAAAUGACAGUGGAGAAGAUGACGGGCCUCGGCGGCCGGUGGGAAGCGCCCUAGGAGGGAGCCAGAGAGAUGUGCACUGCAGAAGAGAGACGUGAUCAGAGAGCUCAGAGCAGGACAGUGUGUCGUGCGCGCCCUCAGAGGGGCCAGAAGAUCUUUAUUCAUCUGCAUGAGGUCACUCAUAUAGAUGGUCACGUAUACCAGUGCCUUGAACGUGAGCAAAGCUUCUGCGAAAACUUAGCUCUUAUUAUGUGUGAGAGAACCCACAGUGGAGAGAAACCUUAUCGAUGUGAUAUGUGUGAGAAAACCUUCAUCCAACGCUCAGAUCUCAUUUCACACCAGAGGAUCCACAAUUAUGAGAAACCCUAUAAAUGUAGCAAAUGUGAGAAGAGCUUCUGGCACCACUUAGCCCUUUCAGGACACCAGAGAACACAUGCAGGUAAAAAAUUCUAUACGUGUGACAUUUGUGGCAAGAAUUUUGGACAGAGCUCUGAUCUGCUUGUCCACCAGCGAAGCCACACUGGUGAGAAACCGUAUCUGUGCAGCGAGUGUGAUAAGUGCUUCAGUCGCAGUACAAACCUCAUUCGGCACCGAAGAACUCACACCGGUGAGAAACCAUUCAAAUGUCUGGAGUGUGAAAAAGCUUUUAGUGGGAAAUCGGAUCUCAUUAGCCACCAGAGAACUCACACUGGCGAAAGGCCCUACAAAUGUAAUAAGUGUGAGAAGAGUUAUCGGCACCGUUCAGCCUUCAUUGUUCAUAAAAGAGUCCACACCGGGGAGAAGCCCUACAAGUGCGGUGCCUGCGAGAAGUGCUUCGGCCAGAAGUCAGACCUCAUUGUCCACCAGAGGGUCCACACAGGGGAGAAGCCCUACAAGUGCUUGGAAUGUAUGAGAAGUUUCACUCGCAGUGCCAACCUAAUCAGGCACCAGGCAACUCACACGCACACUUUUAAAUGCCUUGAAUAUGAGAAAAGUUUCAGCUGUGGCUCAGACCUUAUUGUGCAUCAAAGAAUUCACAUGGAAGAGAAGCCCCAUCAGUGGUCUGCCUGUGAGAGUGGCUUCCUCCUGGGCAUGGGCUUUGUUGCACAGCCAAAAAUGAGGACUCAGACAGAGGAGCUGCGUUAUCCGUACAGUGUGUGUGACAAAGGUUUCCGCCAGAGCUCGGCCCUCCUGCAGCAUCAGAUGGUCCCCGGCGGCGAGAAGCCCUGUAUCUGUAACGCAGGGAUGAAGGGGCUUGAGCUCAGCCCUCCCCACACACCAGAAGCCUCACAAAUGUCUUGGCCAGACAAGAAGUUAUGACACCAUAAAAAACCAUUUAUGAGUCAGAGAACCCAUUAAAAUAAGGAACUCUAGGCAAAGCUUAGAUUUUUUUGAGAGCUCAGACUUCAGUGGGGACCAGAGAAUCUGUGAUUAUAGGAAGCUGGGAAGCGGUUUGCCCGGAGAGCUGCCGGUCACUCCAACGAGAAACCUUCAAAGGCCCUGAGGCUUGGAAAACCUUUACUCUGAGCUCCGAUCUGGUCACUCACAGGAGGACUCGCACCAGUGGGAAACCUUGCAGAUGCCGAGAGGGGCGAGCCUCCCAGCCAUGCUCACUUCUCUCUCUCCAGGGGAGUUUGCACCAGAGGACAACGCCCUUGGUGUGCACAGCUUGCUGACAUCAGAGAGCCCACACUUGGGAGAAACCCCAGCAAGUAUGGUAAAAGCUUCCAACAGAACUGUGACUUUCCUAACCAUCAAAAAAGCCAUAUUGGUGACAAUUUAGGUAUUGUUGUCUUGAGUGUGGCAAAAGCAUUAGAUGGAGAGCCUUCUUGGGUUUGCCGCAUCAAUAACAACAAAACGGAUCUAAGAAGAGACCUUAUGAAGACUGAGGGAGAAGAGCCGUCAGCGAUCAGCUCCUUUGGUUGACACACCAGGGAACUCGUGAAAAACCCCAUAAAUACCUUGAGUCUGAAAAAAGCCUCGCUAGAAACCUCGACCUCUGGGCCCCUAAGAACCUACUCUGCAGAGAGUUGUGCUCUAGUAUGAGCACGGGUCGGGGUGGUGUACAUAUAGUAGGUGUGAGAAUAGCCGUGCUCCCAGUUAGCUGGCCCCUGUGUAGAGGUGACUUUCAUGGAGUCUGGACCUGGACGGCUCUUCGAUGCCCAGAAGCUCACUGUGGCAGGAGCUCGGGCCCGUCAGAGCAGGCCUGAUGGGAAACUCAGUUCUGCCAAGAAAGGAGAGACUACUUUUUAUUCCCAGGGAAAGGAUUGCAAUCACUACAAUAUAAGGUAUUUAUUUGGCUUGGAAUGUAGGAUUCUAAAUGCUAGAAGGGAAAAGUAGUUGCCAGGUUUAUCAGAGUUUCAGGGAUUAGAACUUAUCUCCAGUUUAACAGAGUAACUAUUAUAUUCAGCAUUCUCUAGAAGUACUAUAAUCCAGUGAUCUAUAAAUGAACAACUUUGAGGGGAUUUUCCCCCUCAAAAGACAUGUAAUAAAAGUAGUUAAGAUUCCUGCAUUAUUUGGGACUCUAGACUGGUGAAUAAAUAUUUUGUUGCUAGUCUGAGUCUGACUAGUCUAUCUCAGCAAACCCCUGGACUUCAGGAGUACUGGCCUUUGGACCACAGAGGUGGCCAGCGGCUGCUUUGUGUGCAGCUCUGAUCUCUGACCUGAGCUGAUGACCUUGAUAAUCUUAUGGUCGUGGGGCAGCUCCUAGUGAUAGGAAGGAAUCUGGUUCCAGGGUGUUUUUCUUUGAGCAAACAGGUCCUGAAAGGUUAUUCACUCUGGUAUGUUUUAGUAUUAUUUCCAUAAAUAGCUCUUAUACCAUGAAUAGUUGCCCAGUGUGGUAAAACACAUGAGAUAUAUUUGGUUUUCUUGGGUGCCUGUCGCUAGUGUAUGUUUGAUCACUGUAAUACUAAAAUAGUAUGGGCGUAUGGCAUGGCAGAGACAAAUAUUAGUCCUGUGGCUGCUUGCUAGUCAUUAGAACCUGCAGAAGGGGACAGAGUUGGCCUCAUGGCAGGGUAAUGACCCUUCUUUUGGCUAAUCUCACUGGUAACUAGCUGUGUCUAGUCUUUAAGUAAAUUAAGGAUGGACCAUCCCCCAAGCAGAACUUAGUGGGUUUGAAACAGGUCUAAGGUCUUUUAACCAUGGGGAAGAGGUGUUGGUACUGUUUCACGUAGCAUAGCCUGAGGCUGGGGAGGACCACCUGGGAGCCUGUAACCAGCACUAGCAGGCAACUUCUGGUCUGGUUGGAGGUUCUCUUGAAACAGUGCCAACCUAGAUCUACCUCAGGUAAGUAGUUAGGGUCACCUUUCAGGAUUUCAGACCUAAUGAGACACUUGUAUUCAGUGUAUUCCUAUGCUUCAAUGUUUUUGUUUGCCCUUAAUUCUUAAAUAAACAUUCAUUCUGCAAAACUC